rnacentral:rRNA from 1 species
UGAACGCUGGCGGUAGGCCUAACACAUGCAAGUCGAACGGCAGCACAGUAAGAGCUUGCUCUUACGGGUGGCGAGUGGCGGACGGGUGAGGAAUACAUCGGAAUCUACUUUUUCGUGGGGGAUAACGUAGGGAAACUUACGCUAAUACCGCAUACGACCUACGGGUGAAAGCAGGGGAUCUUCGGACCUUGCGCGAGUGAAUGAGCCGAUGUCGGAUUAGCUAGUUGGCGGGGUAAAGGCCCACCAAGGCGACGAUCCGUAGCUGGUCUGAGGGGAUGAUCAGCCACACUGGAACUGAGACACGGUCCAGACUCCUACGGGAGGCAGCAGUGGGGAAUAUUGGACAAUGGGCGCAAGCCUGAUCCAGCCAUACCGCGUGGGUGAAGAAGGCCUUCGGGUUGUAAAGCCCUUUUGUUGGGAAAGAAAAGCAGCAGGUUAAUACCCCGCUGUUCUGACGGUACCCAAAGAAUAAGCACCGGCUAACUUCGUG